rnacentral:rRNA from 1 species
UCCUGUGGCAAAAUCACCAUAAAUGCACUCGAUUUUGUCAAAUCUCAGAAGCAAAGCGGCGUUAAGCCUGGCUAGUACUUGGAUGGGUGACCAUUAUAGCUUGCCAAAUGUUGGAGGCA